UCCAUUUGUUGCUUUAUGACAUGCCUCAAUAUGUUUAGAUGCUCGCUAGAAUUCAUCCACACCGAAGCUAAAGUUGUCUGCUUAUUUUGAAUGCAUGCUCAUGUAUGGAAAAUGUGUUAAAAGUCUACUGUAUUAUUUUGAUUUUGCUUGCUGCCAUCUCUUAUCAAAUUUCAAGGGAUAGAAAUGUUUAGUCCCUUUUUAGUGAUGGAUUGAGAAACGUGUCUCUGCAUGUUUUCCUUCAAAAGGACUAUUUGUCAAUUUGCACUUUCUUAGGCCAUAUGCAUAUUAUUAGUUUAUCUCUUUUGGGAUUCAUUCAUACGCCUUGUGCUCCUUGUCUUUUAUUUUGGUUAAACUUGUCCGUCGGUUUUGUCCUUUAAAUGAAUUUACCGUAAAAUAAAAUUAAUUAUUGAAUUUAGUUCAUUUUAAUCUAUGGUUGUAUGUUUACUACUAUCUAUGGGAUAUAAAUAUAUGUAUGUGAAAUAUUUGUUUUCUCUAUGCUUACUUAUUAAUUAUGUCGAUAUGCAGACCCAUAUGAAUACAUUAUCUCUCAUCUUAAUCUUCUAACAUUAUAAUAAUAAUAUUAAUUCAUGCCUAACAAUUACACCUGCAACCCAAUUCCAAUUUUAACAUAUCAUUACUCAGUGGUAAAUAAUGUUUGUCCAAAAUUUGCCGUCAACUUUCACGUGAAAGCAAUUAUUAUACAUAUGUCCUUCAAAUUUCAAUUUAUAAUAUAAUAAUAUAUAUUCCUAUUAACAACCAAUAUAUACAAUACUAUAGUAGAGCUUACCGAAUUUUAAUCCUAAUUAAUUUUAUUUUUUUUUGUUUUAUUUUUUGUUUUUUUUUGUUUUUGUUUUUUGUUCUCACUGUGAUGAUUAGGCGGUAGUGAUCAUUACUCUCCUUUAGUUUCUUUAAUUAAGUCAUGUGGGUCAUUACUCAUAAGGUUACUUGUUUUUGUUGCAUGUGAAAUCCGUCCAUGUCCUCACGGACUCCCAUCUCCUUCUUGCAUUCCCUAUGGGGCCUUGGAGGCCCAAUCCCCUUUUAUUGAGUCGAUCAACCUUCAAAAUUGAAGAACAUAUCCUUGACGUGGGCAUACA
rnacentral:lncRNA from 1 species